rnacentral:rRNA from 1 species
CCUACGGGGGGCAGCAGUGAGGAAUAUUGGUCAAUGGGCUUACGCCUGAACCAGCCAAGUCGCGUGAGGGAAGACUGCCCUAUGGGUUGUAAACCUCUUUUAUAUGGGAAUAAAGUGCAGUAUGCAUACUGCUUUGCAUGUACCUUAUGAAUAAGGAUCGGCUAACUCCGUGCCAGCAGCCGCGGUAAUACGGAGGAUCCGAGCGUUAUCCGGAUUUAUUGGGUUUAAAGGGAGCGUAGGUGGGUUGUUAAGUCAGUUGUGAAAGUUUGCGGCUCAACCGUAAAAUUGCAGUUGAUACUGGCAGCCGUGAGUACAGUAGAGGUAGGCGGAAUUCGUGGUGUAGCGGUGAAAUGCUUAGAUAUCACGAAGAACUCCGAUUGCGAAGGCAGCCUGCUGGACUGUAACUGACGCUGAUGCUCGAAAGUGUGGGUAUCAAACAGGAUUAGAUACCCGGGUAGUC